UUCGGAAUCAGAUGAGUCCAUGAACUGGCAGCAGUCAGGGCAGUGAUGACAUCACAGAAGGAGGAUGGGCCUUAGACAGACAUCACUCUUUAGAAUCCCUGCAACUUUGAGCAAGUUCGUGAAUCUCACUAAGGCUCAGUUUCCUCCAUAAAAUUAAUCAAUAUCAGGGCCUCUGCAUUGGACAACUCCAGAGGGCACCAUUGGGGUUAUACCUUGUGUUUGCCUAACCUUCAUUGCAGUGGGCAGGUGCAUGCUUUCUACAAUGUCCUAAGGUCUAAAGGGGUAGAGUUCUGUGUGUGGCAUUUUAGGCCUGGAAAGGAUGAGAGUCUACAAAACCAGAGAAAUACUGCAGGUGAGUGAGGGGCUAAGAUCCAGAUGCCCCCUGCCACAUUGAUCCUCUCCAAGACAGGAGGCCCCAGAUCCCCAGAUCUGAAGCCCUUUUUAAGAGCAAGAGUAUCAGCUGAUGAAUUUCAUGCAUUGCACACCGUGACUCCCAAGAUGGUCUGUCAGAUCUCCAGGUUCUGGAGGUUGGAGGUUCCGCUCAGUGACAGCCUGGCGGUACAGCAUACCCAGGUUCAAAUCCCAGAUCUACCACUUAAUAACUAGGUAAUCUUGGAUGGAUUACUUAACCUUCUUAAGCCUCAUUUACCUCGUGAUAAUUUAUUUUAUAGAGUUGCUGAAAGAAUCAAUGUGAAAAUGUACAUAAAGUGUUUAGCAAAUACAGUAGUGCUCAAUAAAUGUCAGCUUUGUUGUAACUCUUCAGAUUUUCCCUGGGCAAAGUAAAAGCUUUCUUGGAGCCUUUCUCUUAAUCAGUCCUGCCUCAAACAUCCCUUCUGCUGAAACAAGCUGUGAUUAAUCCACUGUAGACCCGACACUCCACUAAAUGGGGCACAGUGCAGAGGUCCGUAAUGAGGAUCUUUUUAAAAGUAAAGCAUAUACAUCAGUCUCAACACUUAUAAACAUCAGAAUUACUUGGAAAGGAGGUUUACAAAAAUGCAAAUGACAUUUUGGAAAGCCUAAUUCAGUAGGUUAGUUUAGAGCUGUGAUAUUGUGAUUUAUAAUAAAUAUAUAUUUGCUCUUGGUCUCUAUUCCUGGCACAGAGCUCCUAAAGUCCUUGGAAUGUCCUAAGUGGUGAGUUUAUGCUAAAGAGGUAACUUUUGGAAAACCUCUAAGGAUGGGGGGCUGGUUGCCAGGGGAGCCAACCAUGUGAUUAGAAGGUUGGAACUUUCACCACCCACCACCCUGACCUCCAGGGAAGGGAAAGUGGCUGGAAGUUGACUUAAUUUGCAAUGGGCAAUGAUUUCAUCAAUCACGUCUAUGUAAUGAAGCCUCCACAAGAAAAAAAUCUUAACAGAAGACCUUCAGAGAGCUUCCAGGUUGCUGACCACAUGGAGGUCAUGCCCAGAGAGGGUGUGAAAGCUCCACACCCCUUUUCCAUACCUUGCCCUACUUAUCUCUUCCAUCUGGCUGUUUCUAAGUUGCAUCCUUUAUAUUAAAGCAAUAAUGUUGUAAAUGAACUUUCUCUGAGUUCUGUGACCCAUUCUAGCAAAUGGUCAAACCCAGGAGGGAAUGGUAUGAACCUCUGGUUUACAGCCAUUGGUAAGAAGCACACAUGACAACCUGGACUUUCCAUCAACAUUUGAAGCGGGAGCAGUCUUGUGGGAUCAAGCUCUUAACCUGUGGGGUCUGCUACUAACUCUGGAAUCCAAUGAACACAUGGACCCAACACUCCUUUGGCCAAGUUGAUGAUUCUCCACCAUUUAUUUGCCUGCCUCACUAUACACUUCUAGCAAGCCACUGCAAGGCUGCAUUGCAGCUAAGAGGAAGCCCUCCUUGAAGGCUGCACAGCAAGGAGUGUUGGCAGAGUAGCUGGGUUUCCACUGGGAGAGCACGAGUCAGCAUCAUGCUGGGCUCAAGCAUGGAUAUGCACUGCUGCUGCCAGAGCAUCAUAAUUUGCAAGCAUUUAUCGAGUACCCUUCAUCUAAUUUUCAUCCUGCGGAAACUAGAAAUUGCUACACUUGCACACAAUAAACUUCUGGCAGUUAGCCUUCUAAACUGGGACACUACCAUUUGGGAGGGAAAAGGUGCUUCACGUGACUUUUGAGUUAUAGCUGACUGCCCUAGCUCACAUUUUAGUGCCAGACUGCUGCCAAGCCUCUAAGCCCAAGGCCUGCUCUCUCUUUAUUAAGAAAAAAUGAUUAGCAAGCAUCAGAGAGUUAGUAAAGACAUAUUAGCACCAAACUUGAACUUUUUCCCUUGCCUUGAAGAUAAGAAUUGAAAGAGAAUCGAAAGGCAGUGACUUCAUCACGGUAAGACAUUGUUUAAUCCCUUGUUCAUGUGCUACCUACAGAGAUCCCAGACCACCACCCAUGAUCCCAGGCUGGAGGAAGCAGCAGGCUAGCGGAAUUCAGGACCAAUGAGCCAGGAAAGAGGGACCCAAUGCAGAGCUCACAUCCCACCCUCCUUCCCCCAUGACAAAGCACUGGCAAACCCUGCCAAAGAAGAAGCUUGGCUGCAAAGCAGUCUGGAACUGGACCCGGGAUAGAUUCACCAGGAGCUCACCACCACAGGGAAUGCUGCACUUUGACUGGACAGAAUGCAUCCUCCAUGCCCACAGAGCAUGUGCCCAGGAUGAAUCUCACUGUAUCCCAGUUCCUCAUGCUUGGCCCCAAACCUCUUUUUCACAGUAAUAAAGAAAACACACUUUACAAAAAGGCAGUUCAUCUAUGAACAUAUUGGCUAGGAUAACACAUCUUAGAGCUAAAUGUGUCACUGUAAAUGGACUCAUUUUAUAUCUCCACAUACUGUAGAUGUUUAAAAAAAGGUACAUGCACAGAAACUAUGGGAACUGAACUGGAGUAUGAGCCAAUUACCCUAGACUUUGCUGUAAUCUGACUUUUGUGUAGCACAUUUUCUUUAGCAUUUUUCUUAAUGGGGGAUGGGGAGUGGAGGCAAAGGAGACAAACUGACAGCAGAGCAUUUUAUUUAGACAAAAGAAAUAUAUUCAGCCUGUCUUAAAUUAUUUGUCAUUAUAAUGACGUUUUCUAAUUUAAAAGUAUUUUGCUUAAUAAUAUAUAAUUGAAUAUUAUAUGCAAUUAAUCAUAUCAUCAUAGCUCUUUAAAGAUUUAUCUCUCAAUAUCUAAUUAAUUACGAGGUCUUGUUUCUUC
rnacentral:lncRNA from 1 species